rnacentral:lncRNA from 1 species
UAGACACAGCAUGCACUGGAUCUCACAGCCAAAGGGAGUUUGCUCCGGCUUAAAGCUCCUAUGCCAUUAAGCCAUUAAGCUACUCUCGGUUCCUGGAAAAUCUCUCCUCAGUGUCUCAUCUGCUUGCCAGCUGAGGUCUUACUGUGGCUCCUUGGCCACUAGCACAUGAGGUACAGCCCAGUAACGAGCAGGGAGCAGAGCAGCAAUGCCAGGGUGCAGCGUCUCG